CGCAGCUGUAGGCGGCAGCCCGGCCCGCGGACGGACGUAACCAGAGAGACAGGCAGCAGCGGGCCACAGGCACUGGCACUUCCUCCCACGUGCACCCGGCGACAGGAAGUGAGGCUUCAUCUAGCGGGCAUGACGGAUCACUGACUGCAUUUCCAGACCUUAUCUCCUCCCCUGAAAUCAGAGGGUGGGACUGAAAGUUCCAAUCCUCUAAUCAAGGUCUCACUCUUUCUAAGCACCCCCUCCAGAAUGAUUCAUCUCUACCCAAAACAGAUGCAGUGAAGACAGCAUGAUGGAGCCAGAGGUUCCCACAAGGGAAAUGCACAGCUUGGAAUUACUAUCCAGAGAAAUCAAUGAGCCACCAAGAAAUAAAAUAAGAACUGAGAGAAGACCCACGAAGAAGCCAAUAUACCAAGUAGUGAGCACGCUGGGUGUUUAUGUGCGAGCAGAAAUGAAAAUGUUAUAUGUGGAAGCUCUUACUCACCUGGACUAGUUUAGAAUAGUGGUCACCACAAAUUAGCAACGGCUCUCAUUGAAACCUACAACCUGUGAAGGAGGUGGACCAGGAGAGGAGCAAAGAGUGGCCCAGGUAAUAAGCACAGCAGGACUUCUAGUCACCAUCUUCUUCUCCAGUGAAAUGCCUUUUGAGAAUUCUUCAUGUCUAUGAAAACCAGGAGCCUUGGUGGCUCCUGGAGUUAAAAAAACCAUUAUAGGAGAAAUUUUGGGGGCACAAAUAGUGAAAUUAGAAUAGGGACUAUAUAUUGGAGGGCAUUACAGAAUUAAUGCUAGUUGUCUUAAAUAUGAUAAUAGUACUGUGAUUAGGUAGGAUAUGGCCUUAUUGUUCAGAGAUGCAGGCUGGAGGAUGAGAUCAUCAGGGAAGAAGAGGGGACCACAGGGGAAGGGAGAAUGGAGGUAAUGAGAAGCCCCAGGUGGGCUGCUCACGACCUCACUCAGCCAGACAGGAAACAUGCGGUUUGGAGUAUCUAUCGCUGCACAAAUCCACCAGCCCCAAACAUAGAGGCUUAAAACAAUUGCUUAUUUGCUCCCAACGUGGACUUCGGGCAGGCAGCUCAUCUUGGCUUCACGCAGACUCACCAGCUCUGGUGCUCACAAGGCUGGAGGCUGAACAGAACAACUUGCUGUUGGCUGGGUUCCUCAGUUCUCGUCCACGUGUCCUGCCCACAAGGCCAGCGUGGGCUCCCUCACAGCUCAGUGUGGGCUCAGAGCAGCCAGACUUCUGACACGGGCCCUGGCUUCCCUCAAAGUGCCAAAGUGGAAGCUGCCAGACCUUCCUAGGCUUGAGGCCUGGAACUGGCACCGUGUGGAUUCCGCCUCAGGUCACAGGGCCAGGCCAGAUUCAAAAGACUUAACUACCAGGGGGAGAGGGUCACUGGGGGCCACUAGAUGGACAGUUCACCACACACAGGGAUGUGGGGCUGUGGCCAGUGGCAAUUCCCUACAGGCCAGCCAGCAACCACAGGAACAGGGCACGUGAGAGAUGGCUGUGUUUCAAACACCUUUGGCUCCUUGAUUACACCAGGGCUGUUGAAGCGCAGAGAUCAAACUGCUCCAUGAAAAAAAGGGUAAACAAGGGUUUCCUCAUGCAGCACCUCCCCAAGAAUUUCAGAAGCUCAUCUGCGUGGGAGGUUUAACAUAAAAUGUUUCCUGAACCUAUCUGACCAUGGUGCACACUUAAAAAAAAAAAAAAAGACUAUCAUUUGGUACAUUAGGACUGUAAUGACUCCAAUUUAGUUGUUUUUUUCUUUUAAUUUAAUAACACUUUAAAAAAUUGUGGUAAAAUACACAUAACAGAAAAUGUACCAUCUUCAC